GAUGAACGCUAGCUACAGGCUUAACACAUGCAAGUCGAGGGGAAACGGCAUUAAGUGCUUGCACUUUUUGGACGUCGACCGGCGCUCGGGUGAGUAACGCGUAUCCAACCUUCCCAUGACUAAGGGAUAACCUGCCGAAAGGCAGACUAAUACCUUAUGGUCUUCACUGACGGCAUCAGAUGUGAAGUAAAGAUUUAUCGGUUAUGGAUGGGGAUGCGUCUGAUUAGCUUGUUGGCGGGGUAACGGCCCACCAAGGCAACGAUCAGUAGGGGUUCUGAGAGGAAGGUGCCCCAGAUGGGAACUGGGAAACGGUCCAAACUCCUACGGGAGGCAGCAGUGAGGAAGAUUGGUCAAGGGGCGAGAGCCUGAACCAGCCAAGUAGCGUGCAGGAUGACGGCGCUAGGGGUUGUAAACUGCUUUUGGAUGGGGAUAAAGUCAAUCACGUGUGAUUGUUUGCAGGUACCAUACGAAUAAGGACCGGCUAAUUCCGUG
rnacentral:rRNA from 1 species